UGGGGAAUAUUGGACAAUGGGCGAAAGCCUGAUCCAGCCAUGCCGCGUGUGUGAAGAAGGUCUUCGGAUUGUAAAGCACUUUAAGUUGGGAGGAAGGGCAUUAACCUAAUACGUUAGUGUUUUGACGUUACCGACAGAAUAAGCACCGGCUAACUCUGUGCCAGCAGCCGCGGUAAUACAGAGGGUGCAAGCGUUAAUCGGAAUUACUGGGCGUAAAGCGCGCGUAGGUGGUUUGUUAAGUUGGAUGUGAAAUCCCCGGGCUCAACCUGGGAACUGCAUUCAAAACUGACUGACUAGAGUAUGGUAGAGGGUGGUGGAAUUUCCUGUGUAGCGGUGAAAUGCGUAGAUAUGGGAAGGAACACCAGUGGCGAAGGCGACCACCUGGACUAAUACUGACACUGAGGUGCGAAAGCGUGGGGAGCAAACA
rnacentral:rRNA from 1 species